GAUGAAGAACGUAGCGAAAUGCGAUAAGUAAUGUGAAUUGCAGAAUUCAGUGAAUCAUCGAAUCUUUGAACGCACAUUGCGCCCGCCAGCAUUCUGGCGGGCAUGCCUGUUCGAGCGUCAUUUCAACCCUCGAGCCCCCCCGGGGGCCUCGGUGUUGGGGGACGGCACACCAGCCGCCCCCGAAAUGCAGUGGCGACCCCGCCGCAGCCUCCCCUGCGUAGUAGCACACACCUCGCACCGGAGCGCGGAGGCGGUCACGCCGUAAAACGCCCAACUUUCUUAGAGUUGACCUCGGAUCAGGUAGCAAUACCCGCUGAACUUAAGCAUAUCAAUAAGCGGAGGA
rnacentral:misc_RNA from 1 species